CCCUUAGAUGCUCUGGGCCGCACGCGUGCUACACUGAGUAAUUCAAUGGGUAAGGGAACGCUAGAGCAUUACCUAAUCUUGAAAUUUGCUCGUGAUGGGGAUCGACGGUUGCAAUUUUCCGUCGUGAACGAGGAAUACCUUGUAGGCGCAUGUCAUCAUCAUGCGCCGAAUACGUCCCUGCCCUUUGUACACACCGCCCGUCGCUCCUACCGAUUGAGUGAUCCGGUGAGGCUCUGGGACCUGGACGGAAAGAGCGUUUCGCUUGUUCUGUUUGGGAAACUUGGUCGAACCUUAUCAUUUAGAGGAAGGAGAAGUCGUAACA
rnacentral:rRNA from 1 species